rnacentral:rRNA from 1 species
CUACGGGGGGCAGCAGUGGGGAAUAUUGCACAAUGGGCGCAAGCCUGAUGCAGCCAUGCCGCGUGUGUGAAGAAGGCCUUCGGGUUGUAAAGCACUUUCAGCGGGGAGGAAGGCGGUGAGGUUAAUAACCUCAUCGAUUGACGUUACCCGCAGAAGAAGCACCGGCUAACUCCGUGCCAGCAGCCGCGGUAAUACGGAGGGUGCAAGCGUUAAUCGGAAUUACUGGGCGUAAAGCGCACGCAGGCGGUCUGUCAAGUCGGAUGUGAAAUCCCCGGGCUCAACCUGGGAACUGCAUUCGAAACUGGCAGGCUAGAGUCUUGUAGAGGGGGGUAGAAUUCCAGGUGUAGCGGUGAAAUGCGUAGAGAUCUGGAGGAAUACCGGUGGCGAAGGCGGCCCCCUGGACAAAGACUGACGCUCAGGUGUGAAAGCGUGGGGAGCAAACAGGAUUAGAUACCCUAGUAGUC